rnacentral:sRNA from 1 species
CAACAGGCGAACUAGGGUUCCGGCUCAUGCAGAUGAGCGCUGGUCCGAGAGUUCUCCGGUCCCACGGAUUGGGACUACACGGCGGGAUAAAAGCCCGGGAGGA